GGUUCCGUAGCUCAACUGAAUAGAGUACCACACUACGGAUGUGGGGGUUGUGGGUUUGAAUCCCGCCGGAAUCA
rnacentral:tRNA from 1 species